UACGAAGGGGGCUAGCGUUGCUCGGAUUUACUGGGCGUAAAGGGCGCGUAGGCGGACAGUUAAGUUGGGGGUGAAAGCCCGGGGCUCAACCUCGGAACUGCCUUCAAUACUGGCUGUCUUGAGUACAGGAGAGGUGUGUGGAACUCCGAGUGUAGAGGUGAAAUUCGUAGAUAUUCGGAAGAACACCAGUGGCGAAGGCGGCUCACUGGCCCGGUACUGACGCUGAGGUGCGAAAGCGUGGGGAGCAAACAGG
rnacentral:rRNA from 1 species